GGAAUAUUGGACAAUGGGCGAAAGCCUGAUCCAGCAAUGCCGCGUGUGUGAAGAAGGCCUGCGGGUUGUAAAGCACUUUUGUCGGGAAAGAAAAUCACAGGGUUAAUACCCAUGUGCCUUGACGGUACCCGAAGAAUAAGCACCGGCUCACUCCGUGCCAGCAGCCGCGGUAAUACGGAGGGUGCAAGCGUUAAUCGGAAUUACUGGGCGUAAAGCGAGUGUAGGUGGCUAUGUAAGUCGGAUGUGAAAUCCCCGGGCUCAACCUGGGAACUGCAUUCGAUACUGCAUGGCUAGAGUCUGAUAGAGGGAAGUGGAAUUCCAGGUGUAGCGGUGAAAUGCGUAGAUAUCGGGAGGAACAUCCGUGGCGAAGGCGGCUACCUGGACCAGCACUGACACUGAGGCACGAAAGCGUGGGGAGCAAAC
rnacentral:rRNA from 1 species